rnacentral:rRNA from 1 species
UACGUAGGUGGCAAGCGUUGUCCGGAUUUAUUGGGUUUAAAGGGUGCGUAGGCGGCUUUGUAAGUCAGUGGUGAAAUACUCCAGCUUAACUGGAGGGGUGCCAUUGAUACUGCGGAGCUUGAGUACAGAUGAGGUAGGCGGAAUUGACGGUGUAGCGGUGAAAUGCAUAGAUAUCGUCAAGAAACACCCGAUAGCGAAGGCAGCUUACUGGGGCUGUAACUGACGCUGAUGCACGAAAAGUGUGGGGGAUCAAACAGGG